CUGCUCGCUACCGUGAGAGAGUGAGAGUGUGUCCGAAUCGGAAAGGGAACACGGGAGAGUAACGCGUGGAAAAACCCUUUCCUGCGGAAUAGCUCCGGGAAACUGGAAUUAAUACCGUAUACGCCCUACGGGGGAAAGAUUUAUCGGGGAAGGAUUGGCCCGCGUUGGAUUAGCUAGUUGGUGGGGUAAAGGCCUACCAAGGCGACGAUCCAUAGCUGGUCUGAGAGGAUGAUCAGCCACAUUGGGACUGAGACACGGCCCAAACUCCUACGGGAGGCAGCAGUGGGGAAUAUUGGACAAUGGGCGCAAGCCUGAUCCAGCCAUGCCGCGUGAGUGAUGAAGGCCUUAGGGUUGUAAAGCUCUUUCACCGAUGAAGAUAAUGACGGUAGUCGGAGAAGAAGCCCCGGCUAACUUCGUGCCAGCAGCCGCGGUAAUACGAAGGGGGCUAGCGUUGUUCGGAAUUACUGGGCGUAAAGCGCACGUAGGCGGAUAUCCAAGUCAGGGGUGAAAU
rnacentral:rRNA from 2 species